rfam:Myotis lucifugus cont2.7989, whole genome shotgun sequence.
AUCGCUUCUCGGCCUUUUGGCUAAGAUCAAGUGUAGUAUCUGUUCUUAAAUGAUUACUUCUCUCUCGGCCUCUGACUUGCAAGUGAAAAAAAGCAAGAAAAGACCAAGCUUUGGCAUCAAACAAUU